CAAGAUAGAGCAAAUGAACGAGGGAUAGAACUCAAAGAAUGGUUGUUUAAGAAACAAGAUAGUGAUCAACAAAUAUAACAACCUAGUUCUUAUACCACAAGCUCCAAGGUAGUCGAGAAGGAUUUAUAAACCGUCUCAGUUGAAUGGUUUGAACUUUAUGACUAAGUCAUAGAGUUACACCUCUUAAUUCGAAAGAAAUAAGAAUGAAAAUCCUUAUGACUACAUUGAGUGUAUAUA
rnacentral:lncRNA from 1 species